rnacentral:rRNA from 1 species
AUUGAACGCUGGCGGCAGGCCUAACACAUGCAAGUCGAGCGGCAGCGGGAAAGUAGCUUGCUACUUUUGCCGGCGAGCGGCGGACGGGUGAGUAAUGCCUGGGGAUCUGCCCAGUCGAGGGGGAUAACAGUUGGAAACGACUGCUAAUACCGCAUACGCCCUACGGGGGAAAGCAGGGGACCUUCGGGCCUUGCGCGAUUGGAUGAACCCAGGUGGGAUUAGCUAGUUGGUGAGGUAAUGGCUCACCAAGGCGACGAUCCCUAGCUGGUCUGAGAGGAUGAUCAGCCACACUGGAACUGAGACACGGUCCAGACUCCUACGGGAGGCAGCAGUGGGGAAUAUUGCACAAUGGGGGAAACCCUGAUGCAGCCAUGCCGCGUGUGUGAAGAAGGCCUUCGGGUUGUAAGUCACUUCUAGCGAGGAGG